rnacentral:rRNA from 1 species
AACGAACGCUGGCGGCAUGCCUAACACAUGCAAGUCGAACGAGACCUUCGGGUCUAGUGGCGCACGGGUGCGUAACGCGGGGGAACCUGCCCUUAGGUUCGGAAUAACUCCCCGAAAGGGGUGCUAAUACCGGAUAAUGUCUUCGGACCAAAGAUUUAUCGCUUUUGGAUGGGCCCGCGUUGGAUUAGCUAGUUGGUAGGGUAAAAGCCUACCAAGGCGACGAUCCAUAGCUGGUCUGAGAGGAUGAUCAGCCACACUGGGACUGAGACACGGCCCAGACUCCUACGGGAGGCAGCAGUGGGGAAUAUUGGACAAUGGGCGAAAGCCUGAUCCAGCAAUGCCGCGUGAGUGAUGAAGGCCUUAGGGUUGUAAAGCUCUUUUACCCGGGAUGAUAAUGACAGUACCGGGAGAAUAAGCUCCGGCUAACUCCGUG